CCGUACUUGAAGUAACAUAAAGUAACGGUGCCCUGUUUGAAGGUGGCAGCUAUGGAAGGAGAUAAGAAGGGGCCUGGUCUCUUAGAUGUGGCAGCCACUGCUUGGUGAUGCAGCACCCUGUUUGAAUUCAGCAUCCUGGUUCUGUCACAUAGCAACUGUGGGAUCUUGGCAAAACCUGUCUUAACCAGGUUAAAAGUGUAGGGUAUUUCUUCAAAAGCGAUUAGGAAACCUUCAUGUAACUUAUUGUUAUCAUUCAUUCUAGCACAGUAUCUCUGAGAGCCUUCCACAGAAGUAUGUGGAUCAUUUACCUGGAACUGCUGGUCAAAGAGGAAAAAAGACAUUAAAUGGACAAGUAGAAGGUAAGAACUGUGUUUUACAGAAAAAUCAUUUGACAGAACAUUGAUUGAAAAUGGGAAUGCUGAUACAUUCUAAUAGGCAAAGAAAAUCACCUGUCAGAUGGGUAGUGAGAAAAAAGAUGAGAAAAGGAGGGCAAUUAUGUAUCUUAUCUUACAUGUUUACAUGUAAUUAACUCUGUGUCCCUUUUUCCUUCUAGACUCUCCUGGGAAAUAUCCUAACAUGAAGGUAAAAACAUUUAUGAUUUUAUCUUGAAUUCUGAACUGUGGAUCGUCUCCUAUGUACAUUAUUUAGUAAUCAACUUGUUUCCAAACCCCAUUCAGCCAGCAGUCAGAAUGAAAGAGUCUGUUCCUAAUAAAACAGUCAGGAUGAAGGAUUUACAAACAUCCAGUUCAGAUCUGUCAAGAGAACGAGACUGGGAAAUGAUAACAGAGGAAGAACAAGAAAAACUUGAUGAAGAUGAGAAUAACCAUGCACAGGUUGAAGAAGAAAAGAAGCACAAAAGCAGUGAAGUGGAAGUAUCAGAGAACGUAUGCGAUGCUGCUGAUGAGAGUGGAUUGUUUCAGCAGAGAAAGCGUGGAGGAAACAGCAACCAGGAGUUUCCUGCUAUGCAGCAUGAGGGUUCUGAUAGGUAAUCCUGUAUCAAUAUUUAGCAGCACGUCCCUUCUUAUGUUCCUAUAAAAUAAUUUCUAACUUGAGCUAAUGUUUGUGAUGUACAGAUUUUAUAUUUUACUAGAGAUAUGGUUAUUUUUAAUACUCUUGUCCUUUAGCCUUAUUACUAGAGUUCCUUUGUUAACAUGCCACCAUGGUACAUAUUAGAGUAUUCUGGAUUUGACUGCUUAUUUGCCUUACUCAGUGUGUUGUAUAUUUAAAUGUGUUUUGUCACUAAUGAGCAUCCUUUCAUUUCAGUCUGAGGACUUCUCCCAGCGUUUCUCAUGAGGCGGGACUAGUGGUGAUGAGCUCCCUCAGGUUUGCUAUGUCUGGGACGGUUUUUAUUUCUCUUUCAUUUCUGAAAGACAGCUUUUCUGAAAAGAGUCCCUUGGCUGGCAGGCUUUUCUCUCCUAGCACUUUGAGUGUGUCCAUGGAGGAGGCCAGAUUGCUGAUGGUGGCGGGAGAGGCCAUGAGGCGUCAGUUUUUCAGCCGUGAGGCUGCUGUCAUCGCCAUCAUGCGGGUGGUUUAAAAGUGAGCUCUCCUCCCAUGGCCAAAUAUUUCCUUGGUUUCUUCUUUCAUGGUAUGUGUGCCUCGUGUCACUUAAAAUACCACCUAAAUUAAGUGUGGCUUUUUUCUGUGAAUUCUCUUUUUCAUUUAUUUUUGGCUGCCCUGGGUCUUUGCCGCCGCAGUGCUUGGGCUUCUCAGUGUGGUGGUUUCUCUUGAUGCUGAGCGAGGGCUCUCGGGUGCUGGCCUCAGUAGCCGUGGAGCAUGGUUUAGUUGCCCCAUGGCACGCGGGAUCUCCCCUGACCAGGACUGGAACGCCUGCCCCCUUUAUUGCCAGGUGGACUCCUAAGCACUGGACCACCAGGGAAGUCCCUAAAUUCACCAUUAUUAUAUUUAGUAGCAAAAUAAAAAAAUAUAGUGUAAAUCUACUUAUGGCUCC
rnacentral:lncRNA from 1 species